UCGUUUCAAAAAUUGGGAGUAAAAUUUGGUUUUAAUAGUGGAUUUUUGGGUUUCAACUGAUGUAGCCCAGAAGUUUAUGUAAAUUCAUCUAGGAAUUAAAAUAAGACAUCAUUUAAUUAAAUGUCAAAGCAAUUAAUUGCUUGUAAUCAAUCAAUUAAAGUUAGAUUUCUCAAGGAUAGUUUAAAAAAUUCAACUUAGAGCGCAGUUUCCGAGAAAACUCAUGUUUUUAGGUCAAAGUCAAAGUUUUCAAGAAAUGUCAAUUUUUAUUUAAAAAAUAUUGGAUUAUUUAAUCUAGUAGAAAAAAAAUCGCAAAGAAGUGUCAAGAAUUAAGUUGCUAGGUUUCCAAAACAACAAAGUAAGUGAACUCAUUACAACAGUCCAAGUUAAACAGUGUUUCUGAACUCAACUUAUAAUCAAUUCAGCAUUUAAAAGUGAUCAGUAUCUCUUAUAUCCUUUCAUUUAUUUUUAAAAAAAUAAGUGAAUGUUGACUACUUGAUUUAUAAAGUUGUAUUUCAAGUAAAUUUGGCUUUGAAUAGGGUAUGAUUUAUCUCCGUUCCAGAGUUUCAUCUCCUUUUUUGAGUUCUCUUUCGUUUUAUUUACCUGUAAAUCAAUUAAUUUCUUUUGACUCAUUCUAUCUCUUGUAGUGUAAUGUGAAGCCAAGACCAACAUUGAAUAUUGUAGUGCAUCUAGAGCACUUGCAAAGAUCUGUGAGUAGCAGCACUGCGGAUAAGAGCGAUGAGUUCUUGAGUGGAUAUGCUGGUACUUCGAGUACUCCUUCCAGCCACCAAGAAACGAGAGGCUGAUAAAUCUAUGUCAUUGUUUCGAACGUCUCGAACUAUCUAGUCAGAAGACAUUCCAAGAACCGGAGCGUGAAGAGUUUACCAGCAAUUAGUUGUUCAUCAAGUGAGCCUGAUGUAAAGAGACCAAAACUAACUGUGAAAAAUUUAAAAUUACACGAUAUUGAGUUCGCUCGAAAAAUGAAGAAGAAAACUCAAGAAGAAAGAAUGAUAGUAUAAAAAAUAUUUGAUUCAAGUAAGUAUUUCAUUUGGCAGGUGCUAAAUGCAUUGGUACUCACCAUCUCGAGGAGCUUCAGGAACUGCUACGCUGAGGCAGGUCUAGUACACACGCAUCCCAAAA
rnacentral:lncRNA from 1 species